rnacentral:sRNA from 1 species
AUACAUGCAAGUCGAGCGGAUCUCUGAGGAAGCUUGCUUCCGAUGAGGUUAGCGGCGGACGGGUGAGUAACACGUAGGCAACCUGCCUGCAAGCCUGGGAUAACAUCCGGAAACGGAUGCUAAGACCGGAUACGUCCUUUCCUCGCAUGAGGAAAGAUGGAAAGACGGUUUCGGCUGUCACUUACAGAUGGGCCCGCGGCGCAUUAGCUAGUUAAUGAUUUUUUCUCUCACCAAGGGCAAAAUGCGUAGCCGACCUGAGAGGGUGAUCGGCCACACUUUNAUUCAGUCACGGCCGAACUUCCUACGGUUGAUUCGGGU